GUGGGGAAUAUUGGACAAUGGGCGCAAGCCUGAUCCAGCCAUGCCGCGUGAGUGAUGAAGGCCUUAGGGUUGUAAAGCUCUUUCGUCAGGGAAGAUAAUGACGGUACCUGAAGAAGAAGCCCCGGCUAACUUCGUGCCAGCAGCCGCGGUAAUACGAAGGGGGCUAGCGUUGCUCGGAAUCACUGGGCGUAAAGCGCACGUAGGCGGAUUGGUCAGUUAGAGGUGAAAUCCUGGAGCUCAACUCCAGAACUGCCUUUAAUACUGCCAGUCUAGAGUCCAGAAGAGGUGAGUGGAACUCCUAGUGUAGAGGUGGAAUUCGUAGAUAUUAGGAAGAACACCAGUGGCGAAGGCGGCUCACUGGUCUGGUACUGACGCUGAGGUGCGAAAGCGUGGGGAGCAAACAGGAUUAGAAACCCUGGUAGUCC
rnacentral:rRNA from 1 species